rnacentral:rRNA from 1 species
UACGGGGGGGGCAAGCGUUGUUCGGAAUUACUGGGCGUAAAGGGCUCGUAGGCGGCCAACUAAGUCGGAUGUGAAAUCCCCAGGCUCAACCUGGGAACUGCAUCCGAUACUGGAUGGCUUGAAUCGGGAGAGGGAUGCAGAAUUCCAGGUGUAGCGGUGAAAUGCGUAGAUAUCUGGAGGAAUACCGGUGGCGAAGGCGGCAUCCUGGACCGACAUUGACGCUGAUGAGCGAAAGCUAGGGGAGCAAACGGG